rnacentral:rRNA from 1 species
CAGCCGCCGCGGGAAUACAGAGGGUGCGAGCGUUAAUCGGAGUUACUGGGCGUAAAGCGCGCGUAGGUGGUUCGCCAAGUUGGAUGUGAAAUCCCCGGGCUCAACCUGGGAACUGCAUCCAAAACUGGUGAGCUAGAGUACGGUAGAGGGUAGUGGAAUUUCCUGUGUAGCGGUGAAAUGCGUAGAUAUAGGAAGGAACACCAGUGGCGAAGGCGACUACCUGGACUGAUACUGACACUGAGGUGCGAAAGCGUGGGGAGCAAACAGGAUUAGAUACCCGUGUAGUCCCUGUCUCUUAUAC